rnacentral:rRNA from 1 species
UCGAACGGGCAUAGCAAUAUGUCAGUGGCAGACGGGUGAGUAACACGUGGGAACGUACCUUUUGGUUCGGAACAACUGAGGGAAACUUCAGCUAAUACCGGAUAAGCCCUUACGGGGAAAGAUUUAUCGCCGAAAGAUCGGCCCGCGUCUGAUUAGCUAGUUGGUAGGGUAAUGGCCUACCAAGGCGACGAUCAGUAGCUGGUCUGAGAGGAUGAUCAGCCACACUGGGACUGAGACACGGCCCAGACUCCUACGGGAGGCAGCAGUGGGGAAUAUUGGACAAUGGGCGCAAGCCUGAUCCAGCCAUGCCGCGUGAGUGAUGAAGGCCCUAGGGUUGUAAAGCUCUUUUAACGGGGAAGAUAAUGACGGUACCCGUAGAAUAAGCCCCGGCUAACUUCGUGCCAGCAGCCGCGGUAAUACGAAGGGGGCUAGCGUUGCUCGGAAUCACUGGGCGUAAAGCGCACGUAGGCGGACUCUUAAGUCGGUGGUGAAAUCCUGGAGCUCAACUCCAGAACUGCCUUCGAUACUGGGAGUCUCGAGUUCGGGAGAGGUGAGUGGAACUGCGAGUGUAGAGGUGAAAUUCGUAGAUAUUCGC